AAAUCUUAGGAAUGGAAAAAUAAAGCUGUUGUUUAGUCACUGAGGUUCAGGCAGCAAGCUGAGAUCUCAGUCAUGGCUGAGAUCCCCCAGGCAUGGGCACUGCACACAUCCCAAGCAGUCCCUGUGCAAGAGCUGGGAAUUACAGGAACGUCUUUAGGAUGUCAGCCUGCUCCAUGUUGGCAUAGCAGAGUUCACAUCCACACACAGAAACGCUUCUCUCCCCAAACAUGGGACUCAGCUGGGAAUGGUUCAUGGCCCAUCUUAAUGUCCGAGCUUGAACUGUGCCCACAUAAUGCCUGGAAGAGAGUGAGCUGGCCUCAACCAAAUCCAUGCCAGAGGCCAUUCUACCAGUUCAGCUGGGCGGGUGACUGGGGUGGGUCUGUGCUCAGACACUGUUAGUUUGACCAGUCUAGACAUAGCUGAAGAAUACAGUUCCUACUCCAAGAAAACCACAGCCCGAGGAUUGCCAAAUAGGCAGAGGAAUAAGAACGUCACUUUCUAGUACAUUCAUUUUAUGUACAAAUUACUGUGAACUCCUGUGAACAGCUGGAGGAGACAUGAGGUAAGGCCGUGUAAAAAGCAAAGGGCUUUGCAGGUGACCUUAGACCCAUUGAUUUUACAUGUAGUUAUACAUAUGGAAGAUGUCCCAGAAGUGACCUUGGGAAGCUGACAAAGAGAAGCUUGUUGCCCUGACAGAAAAAUAAGCCACAGAUGGAAGAAGUAGUAGAUAACAGCAGUCUUGACAAGAAAACAUAAAAGAGGACAAGACUGAAUUAAGCCAGGCAUGAAGGUUUUAAUCUUCAAAUGACUGAUAAGGGAGAAUAAUUAAACAGGAAAGGGUAAAGAGAUGGGAACCAUCAAGUAAUCAAACUUGCUAGUGAGUAGUAACUACUAAAAUUAACAACUUUCUUCUGCCCCUGAAGAAGGAUUUUAAUCUUCUGCAUUCAUUUAGUCAGCUCCUAUCUCCACCUUUAUGGUUUUUUUAUAUACUACACUUUUCUGAGAAUAUAGCAGCUGUAACUUCUAUAUACAGUCAAAGAACAUGCAUAUAUAUGCAGCUGCACAGAACAUACAUUAAUGGCUCAAAUAUCUUUAGAGAAAUAUAACUGUAAAAGGAUUUAAUUUGCAGGAAGAAAUAGAAAUCCAAAAUUCAUGCAUGCCUGCAGUCCCCCAUGUGCUAAAUUCCAGCUACAGCUGACAGCACUGGUGGGACAGCCAGGCCAUAGCUGUCUGCUUUGUAAAGAACCUGUAAAUUUAACAGCACAUGGCUGAGUGGCAAAGGAAGGUGUAGCUGUUGUUUUCUGUAACCCCAUUUUAUGUGUCCCUGCUCAUGGCACACAACUUUGUGAUGGGCACACUGCCACCAUUUCUUUCUGUCUGUCCACAUCUCUACACAGAAAGGAAGAGGGAUGAAAGAUCUAACCCUCUGGAAUAUUUCCCUGUCUCCCUCUUGAUAUUGGCAUAGUCCUGACUGAGCUAUAUGAAAGGUGUUGGGAAAUAAAUCCCAGUCUUUACUCUUAGCUGCAUCUAGUGGGGCACUUUUAACACUGUUUGGAAGAUUUCAAUUUAAUUGACCUUCAGGCAUGACUUAUUUUUGUGCUCUGAGUAUUUUUAAGAUGAACACAUAGGAACUAACUCCUAAAUAACUCUCUGAUGAGAGUGGAGGAGGACACAUGUUGUUGCCAUUUCCAAUAGCUUUGAAGGGUCUGGAAAGUCCCUGAGUGGUGUUUUCAGCAUGGGAGAGAGUUUUCUAAAUGUAGAAAGCCUGAGCCAUGAAGUAGGCUUUGUUGCCAAAACUCUGAGUGAGAGAAAGAGAUUGGGUUUUGGCGUGUCAAACCUUCCCUCUCCAACCUUGUGCAGCUAAUGGCACCCUGCAAGGAUCAUUGUAACUCGGGUGUGGUGCAGUCUGGCUUCCAGAGCUUCAGGGGGUUUGAUUACUUGAUGGUUCCCAUCUCUUUACCCUUUCCUGUGUGUUGUUUGUGGCCGUGCACUGGGGGAGAGCACUUGUAUGGGAAGGUAGAAAACAGUCAACUUCCCACUUUAAGUAUUGUGAUACUUGCAAAUAAACUGGAGUGGGGAGAGACACGCUGUAGGCUGGGGAUACUGCAGCAGGUUUUUUGGUGGCACCAGGGUCCUUCCAUCUCAGCUGAGAAGUGUCAGCUCCAGGCUGGAAGUGUGACUGCUCUGAAGCAGGUAUUUCUCUGCCAUGGCUGUGUGACCCACCUGCCCUGGGUCUGUGCUCAUCCUGAACAGUCAGGCUGAGGAAGCUGCUCCUCACCUCUUCUCAGAUGGUGUCUCUGGUGCUUCUUUGUGGUUGGCCAUCCAUGCCACACAUAGAAAGGAUGCAGAAGCUCACAAGUGCUGAAUGUCUUCCAGCUGCCUGCUCCCAGUGGGAAUAUGCUUGGAGCAAUUAUGUUAAGGGAAGGCUACAAGAGUGGAUAGUUCGGAUAGUCUCCAAAUCUCAUUAGUCUCAAGCUAGUAAGCAAAAUAUAUUCCAGAAGGCGCCCUCUUGGUUUUUUUUCUUUCUGGGGAGUAAGGAAAGGAUCUCACUCAGGGCUCUGUGCUGCAUGGGCAGGGUAUUUAAAUGAUAUUUCUCCUCUCAGGACUGCAGGGGGUUUGCUUUCUUAGAGAAAAAGCAAAAGAAUAAAGAAUGACACAGACUGUUGGGUAAAUUGAUAACUGGUAGUGGCUACAACCUAAUUACUAUGUCUACAGAUCUGAUUAAAUUUUUUUCAUCUUUUUUUUUUUUUUUCUGAGAAUUUUUUGAGUAAUCACUGCUGUUACUUGUAAACAAAAAUUUUAUAAGGUGUGAAAUUCCUGUACUGCUGUGUUUAUCAUGAUUGCUGACCUUAUUGCCCAGGGGAAGGGUGUAGUUCAGCUUGGCAUAAGCAAUCCUCUGCCAGAUGUGGGGUAGUUCAUAAUAAGAAAUGCUAUUUACAGAGAUGGGAGGAGAGGGGAGAAUCAGAAGAUCAAGGUCCCAGAGAGGCUGGAAUGUGCAGGAUCAGAUAUCUGCACUGGAGCACUUACUGCCUUAAUUUGUGUUUCACAGGAUGCUGGACUCUUGUGGGUCACUUCUCUUUUCAAUGAGCAUUUGCCUACAUAUAGCUUAUUGCCAUUCCAGUCAUAGCCCUUGUUUAUGUCACUAACAGACAUAAACAUGUCACAUAUGACUGUGCUAUUUUUACAGAACAACUAAAUCAGUAGAGGACCAUGGAAUAUGCAGUGUACAAAUUCUGAUAUCAGCUUGAAUGUAUGCAUCAAUAUGAUUUAAAAAUGGUGAAGGGACUUAAAGUAGUGAUGCUUAAGUGCCACAGAGUUUAGGUGGUGAGGGUUCUGGUAUUAGUUAACCAUUUACAAGCACAGAAACAUUUAGGUUUGAAAAGACUCUUAAGAUGAUCAAAUCCAACCAUUAACCCAGCAUUAACCACUGCCAAGUCCACCACUAAAUCAUAGCCCUAAUAAAUGCCCUGUCUACACAUCUAUUAAAUAUCUCCAGGGCUGGUGACUCAACCACUGAGUUACAGACAAAGACUGAUUAGGGAAUAUAUCAAUGCAAUUCACCAAAGGUACUGAAAAAAGGAAACAAUGUAAAAAAAAAUAAUUGCAAAAUGGCUUGAUUAACAAUCUGUAAAGAGAGGCAUGUAUGUAUCGUCUAAGAAGCUGUAAUUGUCUGGGAUUCAAGAGACCCAUGGUAAAAUCCCCUAUCUAAACAUCUUCAUUCAAUGGAAAAUUGCUUUUAAUUGAAGCAAUACCAGUCAGCUCUGCACAGGACAUGGAAACUUGCUUAUGGGGCAGAGCAUUGUGAGGCAGAGAGUAGUUAUGGCAUGCCAAGCUAGAAAAAAUCAGUAGGUAUUUCUUCCAUUACAGAAUUCUCAAUGUUUUCCCGCUAUCAGUGUUUCUUGUAGCUCAUCUGGUCCUCUGUUACCUCCUGCAUUCUGUUGUUACUCCAGUCUUUUAAAACCUGGGUGGAGAGAACUGAAAACUGGACAGGAAGGAGUUGUGAGAAGACAUAACGCAACUCUCAUGGUAAGGGAAUAAACUGGAAAUGGUGGAGAUAGCAAACUGAAUCAACUUUUAAGGUGCAAAGAGAAAGAAUAUGGGGAUUUUAAAAGGGCUGGGAGAAACAAGAGGUUUAAAAGAGUAAAGAUAAAGACUUGGUUUAUGUAAGGCUUAAGAUGGGUAAGGAAAAUACUAAUCUACAACAGUAUUAAUCUGGCUACAGCCUUGAAGUGUUUUCCUGUCAACCUACUAACUGGGAACAAUAUAGACUAGAGACUAAAUAGAGGAACUUUUGAUUUGUGUGACUGCAGACGUUCACAGACUAUAUUUUCUUUGUGAAGAAAAAUGAAAAAAUAUAAGAAAAGGAUGGAAAAAUAAGAGGUAUGGGACAAUUAGUAAAUCUUCCAAGCAAUUGCUUUCCAGACCCAGUGAGUGGAUCUCUGUCCAUACCAAUGUGCAUAUUUCAUAUGUGGGGCUGUGGUCACAUUCAUCCUCUCUGUUUUCUGAGGCUUUUGAGCUAGAGUCUGAUGAGGUUUAUGGUGGUUGUCCACUAGGUUUGAGGUGAAUUUGGGUUGUUUUCCUUUAAAGUCUGUAGCCUACUUCCUGAAACAGACCUGAAAAAUGUAAACCAGUAUACAUCCAUACUGACAGACCACCAGGGAAGAAGGCUGCUGAGCCUUAUUUUUUCAGACUGGUCAUACUGAAGAGCAGAAAAGAUCCAAUUCUUUGACCCUGGCCCAAGUCUCCAGGUUAUUUUUGUGAACGUUGGUGCAAUCACAAUAGCAGAAUCUUUCCAGGAUGUGAAGGGUAUUUUGUGUGUGUAUGUGUGAAAUCCAGAAUUUGAAGGAGAGAUUGUUACAGUUUGUAACUUGCUUUAGUGUUUGAAGAAUGCCAAUCAUCAAGAGCACAGAGGGACUUUUGUGACUAGAUUUCCUUCUCUCCCAAACAAAGUGAGAAUUCCAAGAAGUGAAAAAGUAUACUCCUGAUUAGAAAUAAAAGUUAAAGGAUUUUGUAUACUGUAUUUCUGAGACAUCAAAAUAGGCUUGGGGGAUUUUAUCUAUGUUUUCAAAGUUGCUCUCUGAUAAUUAAUCUUAUUUCAGAUGUUUUGGCAUGCAAAACCACUGCUGAAAAUUUAGGACACUAUAUUCUGCUGAAAAGAAAAUUCUGAACAGCUUGCUUUCAGGCUUUUUUUGUUGUUUUUUCCCCUCCAUGUUCUGCUAAAGAUUUACUUUAAAAAUAAAAUUUACUUAAAAUCAAGCAUCAUGUGUUGGCAAAGUAGGCAAGUAGUUUAAAUUGUUCAUUCUUUGUUCUCGGUAGAUUUGUGUUAUGAGUUGUUUGUGCAAACCUUUGCUCAACUCUCAUGUGUUUCAUAGGUCACCAAUUUGUCUUGCUAUUGAUGGCAGUGUGACUGUACAUUUUGGUGAGUUAGACACACAACUUACAGCUUAUUUAACAGAAGUACUUAGUGAAAAAGGAAAAAAAAAAAAUCCAGACAUGUGCAUGCCUACAGUACAGUGCUCUUCUUCAGAAAUCCUGGAAUAGCCAUUUUGUUUAACAAGUAAAUUUUGUGGCAGCAGAACUAAUGAAGCCUGGUUUCCUAUAGUCUUUUGUCUCAUGGGUGAUUGACUUUCACUAUCUAAGAGGAUGUGAGCCCCAGGCAAAGCUUUUCCCAUCAGUGGGGUGUUUAUACAAGGGAUUUCUCCCAUGAGGCUUCUCUCAUAUCUUGAACUCACAACUGCAAGUUUUCUCAGAGCCAGGACUCUGAUAGCAUCUCUAUGCAUCUGUCUAUUUUCAGGAAGAAAAAGGAAGAAUUUGGCCAUCUUUCACAAGUCUACCAGUGUUAGAAAUUGGUUGGAAAUAUAAUUAAGAAAUGGAUGGAAUGAAUAUACAGAGCUGAAUGAGGGCAAGGAGGUUGUCUCACCACCAGGAGAAAAGCGUGGCAACCCUUCCUGGAAGGAUUCCUGCUGGUGUGGGGUUGAUUGAAAAAGAGGAUUCACCUGAGCUGAGAGUGGCCAGAAGGCUCCUGGCCCCUUUACAAAUACAGGAGACCACUUCCUCCCUCAUGGGAAAGGAGGCCAAGGGAGGCCCUAAUGGUGACCCAACAAAGCCUGUCGUCUGAAUCAGCUCCCAAAUAAGCAGAAAUCACUUGGAAGUUGCAAAGGGAAAGGAAUGUCAAUAGGUAAUGUUUCACACACAUUAUGUGGCCAAAAGAAGUACCCACAGUCCUCUGCUGAAGUGCCAAGGAAUCCAUUUGUCCUUUUAGCAUGGCACAGUCCUUGCUGACUUUCAUUCACAUGUGAUGUCUCGGGGUCUGUAGCGUGACCAUGACACACAAUUUACCUCAUUUGGAGUUUCUCAAGCUAUGAUCUCAGAAAAGAAGUCCACUCCCUGUCCCAAGGAAGGAUCCGCUAAACCAACAUCACUUUGCCAUAGAGAUCUGUCUGGUCUGUUCUUAAAUACCACCCAUAAUGAGCUCUCCAGACAAACUCGUCAGUGUUUAGUUUCUUUUUUGCUAGAGGACUCCUUUGCCCUGAUUUCUUGUACUGCAAAUGAAGCAUAUUGCUUCUUAUCCUGUCUACACUGGACCUGGAAAAUAGUUUGUUCCUCUCCUUUUCUUUUUGCAGCCUUAUACACCAAAGAUUGUUCUCAAGUCUCUUCUCAGCCUUUUUCUCUAAACAUCUUGUUUAUUCUGUCUUUCCCUGUAUUUCAGGUUUUCUGAUUUCUAUCGCUCUCCUCAGGGCUAUCUCCAUUUGGCUCCAUGUGUGAAGUGUGGAGUCCAAAUGGAGCAGAGUACUUCAGCUGAGCCCUUUCCCAUGCUGAGAAGGGAAAGCAUCUAACCUUUCUGUGUUUCACAGUCCUACCAGCAUUUGCCAUUCCAACACUUAGGCCAACAACUGUUCCCCAAUUUGAGGGUGAAGCAGGAAUCUCUAACCCAGAAGCAAAGCAAAGCAGGUACUCAAACAUCACAUUUGGGAUACUGCUGGCUCCAAGUGGACUGGUGGCUGAACCCACAGAGAGAUCUCACUUGGCUCCCCUUCUUUCUUUUCUGUCUGCUCAGAAGGGGUGACAAGGUGUGGCUUGCCAAGGCAGGCUGCCAGCUGCUGAAAUUUCCUGUACAGCUGUAGAAAUAAAUAACUGUUGAGCAUACCUUGUUCCCAUCACUCCCUUUCCCUGGCUCUGCUUUGCCCUUUCUAGCUCAAGUACCCUGCUUUGCCAUCUACUUGUGGAGGGAGGCACCUAGGAUCACAGAGUGCAUGCCCAAUCUCUUCCAUUUCUCCUCUCAUGCCCACCUUUUUUUUUUUUUUUUUUUUUUUGAAGGACACAGAUGAGAUCUGUGGCAUGUUUGGUGCUGCAUGGCUAGUGCCCACCUCUCUUGGUAUGCUGGGCUUUUUCUGGUAUGACCUGCUUAGAAUCACAAAAGCUGUGACUUGGCUACAUAUAUGGGGCUUCAUAAUGCCAGAGAUGGCUUUUCCUAUGUCAUCUUAACUAAUUAAGAGCAUAAGGAAAGUGAUGGAAUGGUAAAUGCUUUGACUGUCCAUGCUCUAGAUGCCAUUAAAGACUUGAAUUCCAUAGCAAUUGAUUGCAAAUAUCCAGUGACCAAUGAUGGAAAUAAUGCCAUUAUUUACUCUCACCAUGGGCUUCAUUUAGGUACCUAAUGUCAGUCUGUGGUACCAUAUACAGUCAUUGAAAUGCAGCUUUUAUAACUAUUCAUUGCUGUAAUGAAAACCAGAAUUCUUUCAAGAGCUGAACAAUAAAAUUGUUAGGCAUUUGUUUUUCUAGCUAACCUUCCAGGUGACAAAAUAUUUAAGGCAUAUAGUGCAACUGGUUUUCAUCUGAGACAUGGGAUGGAUGAUAUCAGGGUAUAAAAUGUACAUUAUUCUCUGUAUGUACAAUUUUGUAUUAUGUAAGUAAACGUAUUUUUAAGAAUAUAGUGGGAAAUCUUUCAGUCAAAACAAAUAAUGUUCUGUGUGUUUACAGAACCUAAGGAUCUGCUCUUUCUGCCUUUUUAUGUUAAAUCUCUGUGGCUUGAACUUAUUUUCAAGUUUCCAUAAGACUGUCCAAAUUGGUUUGCUCUUAGAGACAUAUUUGAAAGUUUAUUUUCAAUUUCUCUUGCAGUCUAUAUAGUAUUUAUCAGUUCCAGGAAAAAUCUUGACAGAGAGACUGUGUCAUUUUUCAAUUCAGUGUGUUUUUAGUGGCUUUAUAGUUCUUAUAGAUGGAGCAUAAUUGUAUGAUUAUGCUUACAAGAAAAGAAGGCAGAGACGCAGCAUUCCGACAGUAAACCAAAGUUAUAACAAUGUCAUGAACUAAUGCAAAUAUAAUUGUGAUGAAAUUACUGCAUGAGAUUUUAUGGCUCAUGUGAUUAGCUGUCCAGCUGUUUUUAGGAGGCAGGGCUGGAGACCAGUUGUGGGACUGCUCACAGAACGUGACAGAGGGAUAAUGGCUUCUGGGUUGAAGUGCCUCACACUAGUAGAACUCCAGGUCCUCCUCUUAGUAAGUUGGGGAGAGGGAAUGGCAGCAGUGAUUCUCAGGAGGCAAAGGCAAAAUUUUCUAUGGAAUUAGCAGGCAGUCUGGAUGGCAGAUGCUGGCAGCCAUUUCAUGUGCAUCAGACUGGGACUACUUGAACACUUUUGUCUUUAAAAAAAUGUAAAAAUUAUCAGUCACUCUAUAGAAAACAGUUUUGUGGGCAGCAACAUUACUGAGGUCUAAUCCAUAACAUUCUGUCUUGUGGGUAGAUCUUGUCUGAUCUGUAGUGCAAAUGCCGAUGAAACCUGUCCCAGACCUAGGAUUCCCAUGAUGUUUCACAUUCACUGAUGUCUAAAACUGUUGCCAUUUUCCAGUGGAGCUUCUCCUCAUUUCAGUUUAACAACCUUCUGGAACUGAAUACAUUUGACAUCUCUGUUCCUCUUAAAAGGCAAUUGAAGUUGGCCGUGUCCAUAGAAGUUAUUAGGGGAAGACACACAUCAUGAUUACACUUUUUCAAUAUCUUAGGAAGCUAGGCCAAGAAUAAUAAUGGUAUGAGUUUGCUGGAUAAAAUCACAUCAGGAUGUUUUUAGAUACAAACUCUCCAAGUUUGGCAGCAUCUUGUUUGGAAAAUGAAUUAUGCAUUUUAGGGGUUUGCUGUAAAGUCAGUUGCAGAUUCCUUGGUAAGACAAAUCUUUAUCUUCUGCUCUCCCCCAUAUGAAGGACAGAUGAUGAAAAAGAUAUGCAUUUACUUCUUUAGAUUCAAAGGGGAAAUUAGUUCAGAUGGUUUAUCUACUUUGAACAUUGUAUACAGAAUGUUACACGUCCCAUGUCAGAGGGAGCUGAUUCACUAUUUGUAAAAUUAAGAA